AACGAACGCUGGCGGCAUGCCUAACACAUGCAAGUCGAACGAGACCUUCGGGUCUAGUGGCGCACGGGUGCGUAACGCGUGGGAACCUGCCCUUAGGUUCGGAAUAACUCCCCGAAAGGGGUGCUAAUACCGGAUAAUGUCUUCGGACCAAAGAUUUAUCGCCUUUGGAUGGGCCCGCGUUGGAUUAGCUAGUUGGUAGGGUAAAAGCCUACCAAGGCGACGAUCCAUAGCUGGUCUGAGAGGAUGAUCAGCCACACUGGGACUGAGACACGGCCCAGACUCCUACGGGAGGCAGCAGUGGGGAAUAUUGGACAAGGGGCGAAAGCCUGAUCCAGCAAUGCCGCGUGAGUGAUGAAGGCCGUAGGGUUGUAAAGCUCUUUUACCCGGGAUGAUAAUGACAGUACCGGGAGAAUAAGCUCCGGCUAACUCCGUG
rnacentral:rRNA from 1 species